rnacentral:rRNA from 1 species
UACAGAGGUCCCGAGCGUUGUUCGGAUUCACUGGGCGUAAAGGGUGCGUAGGUGGUGAGGUAAGUCGGAUGUGAAAGCUCCAAGCUCAACUUGGAAGUGGCAUUGGAAACUACCUUGCUAGAGGGUUUGAGGGGGGACUGGAAUACUUGGUGUAGCAGUGAAAUGCGUAGAUAUCAAGUGGAACACCAGUGGCGAAGGCGAGUCCCUGGAAAACUCCUGACACUGAGGCACGAAAGCUAGGGGAGCAAACAGG